rnacentral:misc_RNA from 1 species
AAGUCGUAACAAGGUUUCCGUAGGUGAACCUGCGGAAGGAUCAUUAGUAAGGUGCAGUGCAGCUGAGUACUUUGUGCUCUUCUUGUACUUGAACUCUACAUAUUCUAUUAUGUGUGAACUGUUGAACUUGACUGCUGUGCGUUGAAGGGAAAGUCUUUGAUUCGUCAAGGAUGGACCUGACACGCACACACCCAUUAUUUUACCCACUAAUAAGUCUUUACAAAACCAAUACAUAGAGGUAGUCAACAACCUACGAGUUGAACUUGCAAAACUUUUAGCAAUGGAUCUCUAGGCUCUU